rnacentral:rRNA from 1 species
CAAUAGCGUAUAUUUAAGUUGUUGCAGUCAAAAAGCUCGUAGUUGGAUUUCGGUUAAGAGCGACCGGUCCGCCGUUUGGUGUGCACUGGUUGGUUUUAACUUCCUGUAGAGGACGUGCUCUGGGUUUAACGACCUGGACUCGGAGUCUACGUGGUUACUUUGAAAAAAUUAGAGUGUUCAAAGCGGGCUUACGCUUGAAUAUUUCAGCAUGGAAUAACACUAUAGGACUCCUGUCCUAUUUCGUUGGUCUCGGGACGGGAGUAAUGAUUAAGAGGAACAGUUGGGGGCAUUCGUAUUUCAUUGUCAGAGGUGAAAUUCUUGGAUUUAUGAAAGACGAACUUCUGCGAAAGCAUUUGCCAAGGAUGUUUUCAUUAA